rnacentral:rRNA from 1 species
AAUGAACGUUGGCGGCGUGGAUUAGGCAUGCAAGUCGAGCGUGUACCCCGCAAGGGGGAAAGCGGCAAACGGGGUAGGAACGCGUAGGUCACGUACCCCUCGGCCGGGGAUAGCCACGGGAAACUGUGGGUAAUACCCGAUGACGCCGAGAGGCCAAAGGUGUGAUUCCGCCGGGGGAGCGGCCUGCGUAGUAUUAGCUAGUUGGUGAGGUAACGGCUCACCAAGGCGAAGAUGCUUAGGGGGUGUGAGAGCAUGACCCCCACCACUGGGACUGAGAUACUGCCCAGACACCUACGGGUGGCUGCAGUCGAGAAUCUUCGGCAAUGGGGGCAACCCUGACCGAGCGACGCCGCGUGUGGGAUGAAGGCCCUUGGGUUGUAAACCACUGUCAGAGGGGAUGAAACGAUCAUGGGUUCUCCCAUGGUCCUGACAUAGCCUCAGAGGAAGCACGGGCUAAGUUCGUGCCAGCAGCCGCGGUAAUACGAACUGUGCAAAACGUUAUUCGGAAUCACUGGGA